rnacentral:piRNA from 1 species
CUGCUGAUCACAGAGCAAGAGGUGUGUGGAAA